rnacentral:rRNA from 1 species
AUUGAACGCUGGCGGCAUGCUUUACACAUGCCAGUCGAACGGCAGCGCGGGCUUCGGCCUGGCGGCGAGUGGCGAACGGGUGAGUAAUACAUCGGAACGUGCCCAGUAGUGGGGGAUAGCUCGGCGAAAGCCGGAUUAAUACCGCAUACGACCUGAGGGUGAAAGCGGGGGAUCUUCGGACCUCGCGCUAUUGGAGCGGCCGAUGGCAGAUUAGCUAGUUGGUGGGGUAAAGGCCUACCAAGGCGACGAUCUGUAGCUGGUCUGAGAGGACGACCAGCCACACUGGCACUGAGACACGGCCCAGACUCCUACGGGAGGCAGCAGUGGGGAAUUUUGGACAAUGGGCGAAAGCCUGAUCCAGCACUGCCGCGUGUGUGAUGAAGGCCUUCGGGUUGUAAAGCACUUUUGGCGGGAACGAAAAGGACUGUGCCAAUACCACGGUUCGAUGACGGUACCCGCAGAAUAAGCACCGGCUAACUACGUG